GACCUAACCCUCGGAGCUCACGCUCCAAGAUAUGGUCGUAAAUCCUUCCCAGCUGAAAGCUCCUCGUCAAGAGCACCUGGGAAGGUCCCUCCGGGAAACUGGAGGUGGGUGGCUUCGGCCAUC
rnacentral:sRNA from 1 species